GACGAACGCUGGCGGCGUGCUUAACACAUGCAAGUCGAACGAAGUGGCGAACGGGUGAGUAACGCGUAAUCAACCUGCCCUUCAGAGGGGGACAACAGUGGGAAACGACAGCUAAUACCGCAUAAUGAAGGAGGGGAUUGCGUCGGAUUAGCUAGUGGGAGGGGUAACGGCCCACCAAGGCGAGGAAGAGUAGCCGGUCUGAGAGAAUGAACGGCCACAUGUGGACUGGGACACGGCCCAGACUCCUACGGGAGGCAGCAGUGGGGAAUCUGCCGCAAUGGCCGAAAGUCUGACGGAGCAACGCCGCGUGAGUGAUGACGGCCUUCGGGUUGUAAAGCUCUGUUAAUCGGGACGCGGUACCGGAAUAGAAAGCCACGGCUAACUACGUGCCAGCAGCCGCGGUAAUAC
rnacentral:rRNA from 1 species